UUAGUGUCAGUUCAGAGCCAGUGUCUGGCAGUCCUGAAUGUCUGAUAAUUUCCCUUUCCCCAGUGCCCAGUCACCCUGAGAGGGGCUGCAUUCUCUUUGGAGAAGGCUGGGAGGAAGACUCACAGUCCAUCAUCGGCAGUGGACCGGGCUUCUUCCUUAAAGGGACCCCCCCCCUUUAAUUCAAGAGUCUGGGACUGAGAACUGGCCAAGUCUGGGAACUGACUGGGGGGCACAUGACCCUCUGUUUUUCUAAUUCAGAAACGCCGUGAUCGCCAGCCAGCCAGCCGAUGCCAGAGGUCUCCGUGUGGACAAUCCCCCCACCCUGCUUGGACCCCGCUGUCCGUCACAGUCACCAUGCCAACCUCGCCCGUGGGGGUCGUGCCCCUUCUUGGCCCCACACCUGGACCCUGUUACUCCCACUGCAUUUAGCUUUCCCGUGUGAGAUCUGCCUCCAGAGAAGGGUGGUCCCAGAGCCUUCCUGGGCUCCCCUCCUGGGUUGACUUCCCACGCUCACAGUGAAGAGUGUGUCCUCUGGACCCUGCCAGGUGAGCAGGUCUUGCCUGGUAAACCCACUGGCACAUUCCAGCCUCCCUCGGCCUUGGUCCCUCUUCUGGGCACGCCCAGGCGUCCCCACUUCAUUUAGUACUGGCCACCACGAAGUCCAUUUUUGAGCCAACUAACCAAUGAACAGCCCUAUCUGAUCUCUCAGACUGAACACCACACCCAGAUGGACGCACUACGUUUGGCGCCUGUGAGAGACACAAGGACCGUGUUUGGUAUGAAGUUGGACGCACCACACUGUGGAGUCAGAAGGCUGAAAGGGGAGACGCCUUGAUGAAAGGUGGUCCUUCCAGUCCUCGGGUCAGACAGUCUCGUUGAAGGCGUGCGGAGUAAGGAAAGAAACACAUUGAGUGUCUGCCACGGUGCUUCGCAUGAAGACCUCAAUCGAUGCUUGAUGAGCAGUCCUUCCAGGAAUAUAGGGAGAGCUCAUCCCGGAGAAGAAAUUACCUUGAGCAAAAUUGUCACAGAUUUUCAACAGGCUAGUGAAGGGAAAUAGGCAGGGAAUAGUCUUUUUUUGAUGAUCUUGAAAUAAAAGGUCACAGGAGCACACAGGUGCUCACACACACACACGCACACGCAGAGCUCCCAGGCAGGGCUGAGAACCACCGGCUUACACCUCCCACUUCUAGGUAAAUGCAUCGAGGGAGACGGCCUCAGUGUCCUCCACGGCCGUCCUGCGGCUUCGUUUUCGGAGGCUGAACCUGGAUCCAUCUGCAGGGUGUGCAAACAGACAAGUGUGCCCAGGCCCGAGCAUCUCUCCGAUGAAGCAGUGCUUCCAGCGCUUGACUAGGUCAGACACCCAGUUAGCCCUGGAGAGCCGAGCCUCUGGACGUGAGGCUGCAGCUGCCCCGGGCCCUCUGCACCAGGGCCACACGUCAUCCCGAGCACAGGGACCCGGUGGCCGCCCUGGCCCCUCCUUGACUUUAUGCUUGCUCUCUAUGUAGACAAAAGCAACCUCUCCAAGGAGAGAGGCUGGAAGAGCCUGACUGACCCUCUUGCUCGGGAGGACAAACCUGUGUCUCAGCCGGUGACGUUGGUAGCGUGUUGAUGGGUGUGCCCUGUCCCCAGGUACUUCAGUGACCACUGCAGAUUUCUCUGAAGCACAAAUAAUUUUAAUCAGUUUUGUUAAAAGGUCAGACUGCCCUGUUAGAGUGCUUUGUGAAAUGCUGUUAGGAAAGCAAACAGUGACAAUCUGUCGGCACUGCAGAAACUUCUUGGAGUUACUGCUCCUUGGAGAAAGGACUGGAUUUCUCUUAAAUGCUGCGAUAACCAUGCCAUUUGUUGUGGGAUGAAUUGUGCACCCCCAGAUCCAUGUGUUGAAGUUCUGACCCCCAGCACCCGGGAGUGUGCCCUUAUUCGGAAAUAGGGUCUUUGUGGAUGGAGCUAGUAAGGACGAGGUCACGGCGCACAGAGGUGCUCCGUCAGGAGGCACGUGGUGCCCGCCUCUCCCAGGACUGUGGCAUUAAGGCCACGUCAUCGGGACAUCUGCCCGCUCCUCUACUGCAGGCUUGCCUUUCCUCGCUUCAUCAUCAUGAUGAUUCCCUGCAGACGGACCCUGAGAGUCGGUACACAUCCCGCAACUUGCCGAGCUGACUCGCCGCCCUGGUUACCAUCGUGACUGUCAGCGAUCCAUUUUCCCCAUUAGUCUUAAAGUGAAACCUCCCCUCUUUCCCCAAUGAUACAUUUAUUCAUUUGUUUAUGUCAUUCA